UUGGUGCUUGCACCAAAUGAAACUAGAUACAAGCGAGCGGCGGACGGGUGAGUAACACGUGGGUAACCUGCCCAAGAGACUGGGAUAACACCUGGAAACAGAUGCUAAUACCGGAUAACAACACUAGACGCAUGUCUAGAGUUUAAAAGAUGGUUCUGCUAUCACUCUUGGAUGGACCUGCGGUGCAUUAGCUAGUUGGUAAGGUAACGGCUUACCAAGGCAAUGAUGCAUAGCCGAGUUGAGAGACUGAUCAGCCACAUUGGGACUGAGACACGGCCCAAACUCCUACGGGAGGCAGCAGUAGGGAAUCUUCCACAAUGGACGCAAGUCUGAUGGAGCAACGCCGCGUGAGUGAAGAAGGGUUUCGGCUCGUAAAGCUCUGUUGGUAGUGAAGAAAGAUAGAGGUAGUAACUGGCCUUUAUUUGACGGUAAUUACUUAGAAAGUCACGGCUAACUACGUGCCAGCAGCCGCGGUAAUACGUAGGUGGCAAGCGUUGUCCGGAUUUAUUGGGCGUAAAGCGAGUGCAGGCGGUUCAAUAAGUCUGAUGUGAAAGCCUUCGGCUCAACCGGAGAAUUGCAUCAGAAACUGUUGAACUUGAGUGCAGAAGAGGAGAGUGGAACUCCAUGUGUAGCGGUGGAAUGCGUAGAUAUAUGGAAGAACACCAGUGGCGAA
rnacentral:rRNA from 1 species